GCCUGGGUGGUGAAAUGGCAAACACGCACGACUCAAAAUCGUGUGCCGAAAGGCUUGUGGGUUCAAGUCCCACCCCGGGCA
rfam:Parcubacteria bacterium GW2011_GWA1_48_11b TY24_C0030, whole genome shotgun sequence.